CAAUAGCGUACAUUAAAGCUGUUGCGGUUAAAAAGCUCGUAGUUGGAUCUCUGGUCUUGUCGGCCGGUCGCCCUCUGGGUGUGUAUCUGGCUCUUUCUUGGCACCUUCUUGGUGAACGUUGCUGCACUUGACUGUGUGGAGCGCUACCCAGGACUUUUACUUUGAGGAAAUUAGAGUGUUUCAAGCAGGCAUACGCCUUGAAUACAUUAGCAUGGAAUAAUAAGAUAGGACCUCGGUUCUAUUUUGUUGGUUUCUAGAGCUGAGGUAAUGAUUAAUAGGGAUAGUUGGGGGCAUUCGUAUUUAACUGUCAGAGGUGAAAUUCUUGGAUUUGUUAAAGACGGACUACUGCGAAANCANNNGCCAAGGAUGUUUUCAUNGA
rnacentral:rRNA from 1 species